rnacentral:rRNA from 1 species
CCUACGGGAGGCUGCAGUGGGGAAUAUUGGACAAUGGGGGGAACCCUGAUCCAGCCAUGCCGCGUGUGUGAAGAAGGCCCUCGGGUUGUAAAGCACUUUCAGUGAGGAAGAACGCCUGGUGGUUAAUACCCAUCAGGAAAGACAUCACUCACAGAAGAAGCACCGGCUAACUCCGUGCCAGCAGCCGCGGUAAUACGGAGGGUGCGAGCGUUAAUCGGAAUUACUGGGCGUAAAGCGCGCGUAGGUGGCUUGAUAAGCCGGUUGUGAAAGCCCCGGGCUCAACCUGGGAACGGCAUCCGGAACUGUCAAGCUUGAGUGCAGGAGAGGAAGGUAGAAUUCCCGGUGUAGCGGUGAAAUGCGUAGAGAUCGGGAGGAAUACCAGUGGCGAAGGCGGCCUUCUGGACUGACACUGACACUGAGGUGCGAAAGCGUGGGUAGCAAACAGGAUUAGAUACCCCGGUAGUC